UGCGUUUUUGGGUUGUAUGAUAUACUCCAAAUUUUAUUCUUAUUCUUAUUUUUCCUUUUCAUUGUAUAGUGUAGCUAGGGUUGGUUUUGAGGUUAUAUAUAGUUGCGUGUAUGCAUUAUCCUUGAGCACGUUGUUCUUCUGUGAGAUUUGGGCUAGAACGGCAAGAGUUUCUACAUAUCAAUGGUGCCUUAUGAGUGUCACGGUCCUACCCUAGAUAGAACCGGGGGGGAUAAGAGUAAGCAUUAGUGGAGUGGGAAUGUGGUUCUUGUUAGAAAGUUAAGAGAUAUAAAGAGCGAAGAGAAGUUUAGUGUAUAAGUAGAAAACCUUGGGCAAUUGUUUUGUGAAAGAAAGAAAGCGUGGGUACGUUGUUAUGAAGUGUUAAGGGUGAGUAUUAUAUGUUUACAUGUGAGGAGCUAGGAGAUAGGGAGGUAUAGAGAGGUUGGAGUUUGCUUUGGAUACUGGAAUGAGGUGGUAUGGCAUAGUUUCGGGUGAGUGAACAAAUAUUGAUUGUAAGGGACUUGGCAAAGAGUAGUUUUCAAAAUUAAAAUUGAAAGAGAGAGGUUUGGGGAGUGUCGUGAUUUUUGGGAGUGAGGAGAAGGGUUAGAGGUUGACGUAGAGGUAGUGAGGUUGGGGCUGCAUUACUAGUAAAUGUAUGAGUUUAAGUGCAGGUUUUAAGAAAGAAGUAGAAAAUAAAAGAAAAGAAGAUGGGGUAACGUAGUAAGUGUUGGACGUGAGGUUUAUAAGAGUGAAAUGGUGAUAAGGUGAGAAUGUUAGUGGUUUUGUUGUAGCAUAAUAGAUAUAGGAGAAUGUGUAUUUGUAGAUGUGUAGUUGAGAGGAGGAAAAUGGAAUAGAUGGGGAGAAGUUAAUAUUAGUAGUAUUGGUUGAAAGAGAAAAGUGAAAGGUAGAGAAAGAGAGAAAAGAAAUAGAAGGGGUCGUAUGCAUGGGCUAUUGGACUCUGAGAGAAGUAAUGAAGGAAAUGCAAUGAUUAAUUGAUGAAAUUAAGUUUUUGGUGCAGAGAGAAUUCAUCAAGGGGCUACAUGGUACUUUCUUUCCAAUAUAAUAUGAAGAUAAUUAAAAGGGGAUUUUCCUUGGAGGAACCCAUUUCGGGAGAAGGCAAAACCUAGCCUUUGGGGUUUGGGAAGAUGUGCGAGAAAUUGGGUUGUUGAGGAGGAAAUAGGAUGAUGAGUUUAUGGAUUUGUUAGGUUUCCUUUUAAUAUCAAGAUUGAUAUAAAUAAUAUAUUAUACUACAUUCAUUCUGUUUUGUGAUCUUUGUAUA
rnacentral:lncRNA from 1 species